ensembl:lncRNA
UCAGAGGCUUGAGUCCCGUUGUUAAAGGCCAGGGGGUCAGAGGCUUGAGUCCCGUUGUUAGAGGCCAGGGGGUCAGAGGCUUGAGUCCGGUUGUUAGAGGCCAAAGGGUCAGAGGCUUGAGUCCGGUUGUUAGAGGCCAAAGGGUCAGAGGCUUGAGUCACGUUAGAGGCCAGGGGGUCAGAGGCUUGAGUCACGUUAGAGGCCAGGGGUCAGAGGCUUGAGUCACAUUGUUAGAGGCCAAGGGGUCAGAGG